CCUACGGGUGGCAGCAGUGAGGAAUAUUGGUCAAUGGACGCAAGUCUGAACCAGCCAAGUCGCGUGCAGGAUGACGGCUCUAUGGGUUGUAAACUUCUUUUAUACGGGGAUAAACUGUGCUACGUGUCUCGUGUUGUAUGUACCGUAUGAAUAAGGAUCGGCUAACUCCGUGCCAGCAGCCGCGGUAAUACGGAGGAUCCGAGCGUUAUCCGGAUUUAUUGGGUUUAAAGGGUGCGUAGGCGGUUUGUUAAGUUAGUGGUGAAAUGUUGUGGCUCAACCCCGAAAUUGCCGUUAAAACUGGUGGACUAGAGUAUAGUUGCGGUAGGCGGAAUGCGUGGUGUAGCGGUGAAAUGCUUAGAGAUCACACAGAACACCGAUUGCGAAGGCAGCUUACCAAACUAUAACUGACGUUGAGGCACGAAAGCGUGGGUAUCAAACAGGAUUAGAUACCCCAGUAGUC
rnacentral:rRNA from 1 species